AUUGAACGCUGGCGGCAUGCCUUACACAUGCAAGUCGAACGGUAACAGGGAGCUUGCUCCGCUGACGAGUGGCGAACGGGUGAGUAAUGUAUCGGAACGUACCUUUCAGUGGGGGAUAACGUAGCGAAAGUUACGCUAAUACCGCAUAUUCUGUGAGCAGGAAAGCAGGGGACCUUCGGGCCUUGCGCUGAUUGAGCGGCUGAUAUCAGAUUAGCUAGUUGGUGAGGUAAAGGCUCACCAAGGCGACGAUCUGUAGCGGGUCUGAGAGGAUGAUCCGCCAGACUGGAACUGAGACACGGUCCAGACGCCUACGGGAGGCAGCAGUGGGGAAUUUUGGACAAUGGGGGCAACCCUGAUCCGGCCAUGCCGCGUGAGUGAAGAAGGCCUUCGGGUUGUAAAGCUCUUUCGGCCGGGAAAAAAUCGCAUGGGCUAAUACCCUGUGUGGAUGAUGGUACCGGAAUAAGAAGCACCGGCUAACUACGUGCCAGCAGCCGCAGUAA
rnacentral:rRNA from 1 species